rnacentral:sRNA from 1 species
UCCACAGAACUGGUGCAGCAUGGGAAGCAACAGUGCAAGCUUCCCUCUUCCUGCCCCAAAGAUAUCCUCAUCCCUGAACUGAAAAGUCCACCUGUAAGGA